rnacentral:rRNA from 1 species
UACGUAGGGUGCAAGCGUUAAUCGGAAUUACUGGGCGUAAAGCGUGCGCAGGCGGUGAUGUAAGACAGUUGUGAAAUCCCCGGGCUCAACCUGGGAACUGCAUCUGUGACUGCAUCGCUGGAGUGCGGCAGAGGGGGAUGGAAUUCCGCGUGUAGCAGUGAAAUGCGUAGAUAUGCGGAGGAACACCGAUGGCGAAGGCAAUCCCCUGGGCCUGCACUGACGCUCAUGCACGAAAAGCGUGGGGGAGCAAACAGG